rnacentral:rRNA from 1 species
GAUGAACGCUGGCGGCGUGCUUAAUACAUGCAAGUCGUACGGUAAGACGCUGUCCUUGCUACACUGAUGUCAAACGCGUAAGUAACACUAAAGUAACGUUCCCCCAACUUUAGGAUAAGGCUAGGAUACGGGUACUAAUACUAGAUAUGUGCUCCUUCUUCAUGGUGGGGGUUGAAAAGCUCCGGCGGGUGUGGAUGGACUCUCUGGCUAGAAGCUUGUUGGUUGAGUAGUUGCCUACCAAGGCGGCUACGGGUAGCCGGCCUGAGAGGGUGACCGGCCACAUUGGGACUGAGAUACGGCCCAGAUACCUACGGGAGGCAGAAGUGGGGAAUAUUGCCCAAGGGGCGCCAGCCUGAUGAAGAAACGCCGCGUGCGGGAUGACGGCCUUAGGGUUGUAAAACGAUUUCAGAAGGGACGAAGCUUUUUGUGACGGUACCUGCAGAAGAAGCACCGGCUAACUACGUG